GCUUAUCACCAUUCCAGAUUGAAUAUACCCGAUCUCGUCUGAUCUCGGAAGUCAAGCAAUAUCGGGCUUGGUUAGUACUUGGAUGGGUGACCGCUUGGGAAUACCAAGUGUGAUAAGCA
rfam:Ciona savignyi cont_18854, whole genome shotgun sequence.